UACGGAGGAUGCAAGCGUUAUCCGGAUUCAUUGGGUUUAAAGGGUGCGUAGGCGGGAUAAUAAGUCAGUGGUGAAAGCCUACAGCUUAACUGUAGAACUGCCAUUGAUACUGUUAACCUUGAGUACAAUUGAAGUGGGCGGAAUGUGUCAUGUAGCGGUGAAAUGCUUAGAUAUGACACAGAACACCGAUAGCGAAGGCAGCUCACUAAACUGUAACUGACGCUGAGGCACGAAAGCGUGGGGAUCAAACAGGAUUAGAUACCCUGGUAGUCCACGCCGUAAACGAUGAUCACUCGAUGUGUGCGAUAUACUGUACGCGUCUGAGCGAAAGCAUUAAGUGAUCCACCUGGGGAGUACGUUCGCAAGGAUGAA
rnacentral:rRNA from 1 species